rnacentral:rRNA from 1 species
UCCUACGGGAGGCAGCAGUGAGGAAUAUUGGUCAAUGGCCGGAAGGCUGAACCAGCCAAGCCGCGUGAAGGACGAAGGUGCCAAGCAUUGUAAACUUCUUUUGUCAAGGGACAAAAUCAGGCUCGAGAGCCUGACCGAGGGUACUUGAAGAAAAAGCAUCGGCUAACUCCGUGCCAGCAGCCGCGGUAAUACGGAGGAUGCGAGCGUUAUCCGGAUUUAUUGGGUUUAAAGGGAGCGUAGGCCGGUCUUUAAGCGUGUCGUGAAAUUUUGUGGCUCAACCAUGGGAGUGCGGCGCGAACUGGAGA